rnacentral:rRNA from 1 species
UACGUAGGUGACCAGCGUUGUCCGGAUUUACUGGGCGUAAAGAGCGCGCAGGCGGUCGUCCAAGUCGCGUGUGAAAGCCCCCGGCUCAACUGGGGAGGGUCACGGCGAUACUGGUCGACUCGAAGGCAGGAGAGGGUAGUGGAAUUCCCGGUGUAGUGGUGAAAUGCGUAGAUAUCGGGAGGAACACCAGUGGCGAAGGCGGAUCUCUGGACAGUUCCUGACGCUGAGGCGCGAAGGCCAGGGGGAGCAAACGGG